GAGGCCCUCGGGGGUCUCUGUUAAUUGGUCCUCCCUGUGUCUGCCUUCCGGCCUCAGAGAUGGGCGGUUACAGUCGGGUGAGGGUGUCUGUUCUUGAGACGCUAGUCUCGCCAGGAGCCCCCUCCCUGAGUGGCGGCACCAGAGCCUGGGUGAGAGUGGGGAGGGGCUGGAGAGGACACACUUGGGGGCAGCACCAGCGGGAGUGUAGUCCGAUUGUGCCUUGGAAGAUCUCGGGCAGAGCUGACCACGGAGGACAGUGAGGGUCUCUUGUCCUUCUUGGGCAGUCCAUGGCUCAAGGUGCCUCGCCCAUGUUGCAGGGGGCCGUGGAGCCCAUGCAGAUUGACGUGGACCCCCAGGAGGACCCACAGAAUGCACCCGAUGUCAACUACGUGGUGGAGAACCCCACCCUGGAUCUGGAGCAGUACGCAGCCAGCUACAGCGGCCUCAUGCGCAUCGAGCGGCUGCAGUUCAUUGCUGAUCAUUGCCCCCCACUGCGGGUGGAGGCCCUGAAGAUGGCGCUCUCCUUUGUGCAGAGAACCUUUAAUGUGGACAUGUAUGAGGAGAUCCACCGGAAGCUUUCAGAGGCCACCAGGGAGCUGCAGAAUGCUCCUGAUGCUAUCCCUGAGAGUGGUGUGGAACCGCCACCCCUGGACACGGCCUGGGUGGAGGCCACUCGGAAGAAGGCCCUGCUGAAGCUGGAGAAGCUGGACACAGACCUGAAGAACUACAAGGGCAACUCCAUCAAGGAGAGCAUCAGGCGCGGCCAUGAUGACCUGGGUGACCACUACCUUGACUGUGGGGACCUUAGCAACGCCCUCAAGUGUUAUUCCCGGGCCCGAGACUACUGCACCAGCGCCAAGCACGUCAUCAACAUGUGCCUGAACGUCAUCAAGGUCAGCGUCUACUUGCAGAAUUGGUCUCACGUGCUGAGCUACGUCAGCAAGGCCGAGUCUACUCCUGAGAUAGCCGAGCGUGGGGAGCGGGACAGCCAGACACAGGCCAUCCUCACCAAGCUCAAGUGUGCUGCAGGCUUGGCUGAGCUGGCCGCCCGCAAGUACAAGCAGGCCGCCAAGUGCUUCCUGCUGGCUUCCUUUGAUCACUGCGACUUCCCAGAGCUGCUUUCCCCCAGCAACGUGGCCGUCUAUGGUGGCUUGUGCGCCCUGGCCACCUUUGACCGGCAGGAGCUGCAGCGCAAUGUCAUCUCCAGCAGCUCCUUCAAGUUGUUCUUGGAGCUGGAACCACAGAUUCGAGACAUCAUUUUCAAGUUCUACGAGUCCAAGUAUGCCUCAUGCCUGAAGAUGCUGGACGAGAUGAAGGAUAACCUGCUCCUGGACAUGUACCUGGCCCCCCACGUCAGGACUUUGUAUGCCCAGAUCCGCAACCGCGCCCUUAUCCAGUACUUCAGCCCCUAUGUGUCUGCUGACAUGCACAAGAUGGCCAUGGCCUUCAACACCACGGUGGCAGCUCUGGAAGAUGAGCUGACGCAGCUCAUCCUGGAGGGGCUCAUUAAUGCCCGCAUUGACUCACACAGCAAGGUCCUGUACGCCCGGGAUGUGGACCAGCGCAGCACCACCUUUGAGAAGUCCCUGCUGAUGGGCAAGGAGUUCCAGCGCCGCGCCAAGGCCAUGAUCCUGAGGGCGGCUGUGCUGCGCAACCAGAUCCACGUCAAGUCCCCUCCCAGAGAAGGAAGCCAGGGGGAGCUGACUCCGGCCAACAGCCAGUCCCGGAUGAGCACCAACAUGUGAGAGGCAGCCUGCCGGCUCCAGAACGGUCUGUACACCCCUUCCUCAUCCCUGCGGACUCGGCUCCUGGCCCUGCCUGCUUACCUUCAGAGAGGAGGCUGAGUGCUAUCUGCAGCCAUCUGAGGGCCUGGCCGGGGAUGCCAGCCCCUCGGCCCGUCUGGAAGGAGGGCCUGCAGGGCUCAACCCCUCGGGUUUCUGUCCCCAGGAGUGGACUGCGCAGCAUCUCCCAAACCCUCCCCCGUGUGUCGUGUGGGCUACAGGCGAGGUGGUGACGUCACACUGCAUUAAAAGCAGACUGCAGUUGUGUUUGGC